GACAGUACUCGAGUGUUCUCGGUGUAGAGUGUAACAGACAGUACUUGAGUGAUCACGGUGUAGAGUGUAACAGACAGUACUCGAGUGUUCUCGGUGUUCUCGGUGUAGAGUGUAACAGACAGUACUCGAGUGUUCUCGGUGUAGAGUGUAACAGACAAUACUUGAGUGUUCUCGGUGUAGAGUGUAACAGACAGUACUCGAGUGUUCUCGGUGUAGAGUGUAACAGACAGUACUUGAGUGUUCACGGUGUUCUCGGUGUAGAGUGUAACAGACAGGACUUGAGUGUUCUCGGUGUAGAGUGUAACAGACAGUACUCGAGUGUUCUCGGUGUAGAGUGUAACAGACAGUACUUGAGUGAUCACGGUGUAGAGUGUAACAGACAGUACUCGAGUGUUCUCGGUGUUCUCGGUGUAGAGUGUAACAGACAAUACUCGAGUGUUCACGGUGUAGAGUGUAACAGACAGUACUCGAGUGUUCACGGUGUAGUGUAACAGACAGUACUUGACAGGUACGUUGCUGUUUGGACCGGACCUGGCAGGACCGGAGAGGGUGAAGGCCUUGCUGGCAACUGUCAGUGAUGACGUCAAAAAGGAUUAUGGCGAAGAUUACCACAAACGUCUCGAAGGUUUCGUAAAAAAUAUCUACAAGGGUACAGCUAAGGAUAUCAGUCCUGUGAUUAACGCGUUCACAGAGGCGCUGACGCAGACCUUCCCGCAGGACCGCUACUGCCCCAUGAGCGCCCAAACCUACAUGGCAGUUUUCGUCAACACUCACUUCCCAGCCUGGGUCUACGACACGCUCUUCGGUGGCUAAAUCGUUGUUGAUUCUGCAAGAGCCAUAUUUGAUCAUGAAGAAUCGCAUUUGAUCCUAAAGAAAACAUAACUGAUCUAACAGAGGUGAAGAUAAUUCACUUUGUAGUUCAAUACUCCUGUGCAUAUGAGGAGUCACAAUAACGUGGCUGAAAUAAGUUGACCAAACCACACACUGGAAAGUGAAGAGACGACGACGUUUCGGUCAGUCCUAAACUGUUCUGAAGUCGAUUGUGAUCACAAUCGACUUCAGAAUGGUCCAGGACAGACCGAAACGUCGCCGUCUCUUCACUUUCUAGUGUGUGGAUUUGGUCUUCAAUAUUCCUCUUACACUUCACAAAUGCAGUUUGCCAAAUCAAACACAAGAUGGUUGAAAAUCAAUAAAUCAGACGAUUCAGCAGAUUAAUGAGA